CAACACUGUUUAGCGGAGAGAAUACUUUGAAGCACACAGAAGCUUGCUAAUCAACGGCAACACUAAGGUCCUGCCCAGUCGUCUAUGAAUGACAAUAGACCAGACCAUGGAGCCAGUGAUUAAGCUCUGCAGUAGAAUCCACUCUCCCAACCCAGGUCUCGCUCUCCUUUAGCCCAUCAGUUAUCCAUUUACCAUGGCAGGCCUGGGGUGAAUUUGCAUGGAUUUGGAUCACCCUUCAGGACUCAAGCCUGUUCUGUCGCAUUGCCUAAAAUUGAAAGUGACAGGCCUUUUGCCUGAGGCUUUAAUCCUGGAAUAGGGUGCCUGAUACAAGCUUCAGAUGAGUCCCUCCUUACCACUCUCGCUAUCUUUCUUUCUCUCUCUUUAUGUGCCCUUUAUCGCUUGUCCAAAGCAACUGAUUUCUUCAUAUGUUAUGAUCAUUUAAUAUGUAAUACACUUUAAUCAUAUGUGUGAUAUCUUCAUUCAUUUCGCAAAAUAAUUCUAUGUAUUUUAGUUAAUCGAUAGGCGUUCACUUGAUGAUCAUGCAAAAUAAAUAUAAAAUGUAUUAAAUUAUUGUAUUAACACAAUUACAAUAUAAAGUUUCCUGAAAGUAUUAUUGCCUUUAGUUUCCUGCUUUUUAUGUUUUUCAAUAGUGCGCAUGUGUAUGCUGAAUACAUUUGGAAUGUAUGUGUGUGUGUUCUAGGUGACCUUCCAGUAAUUGACAGUAACGGAGUGUGGGACAUUUUUCUGACAGGUUUUCUAAGCCUGGGGCCUUUGAUCUAUGGCCAUGGGCUGUGAUUGCACAUUGUGCACAUUUGCUUUUGAAGGAUGUGGAGGACGUGUUCAGAAGAAGACAUUCCUACCUCAGGCCGCCCUAUCGCAGAUGUUAGUGGGGGCAAAAAUGGGCAUCUAAGGGAACCCCUCUAUGCCCUCUCUCACCCAUCCAUGCAUGGCACGAAGCUGGGGGUGGCCAAGAUGCCAACAAAUAGCAAUUCAUAUUAAAUACUUGUGACAGGUGUCAGUAGUACUCACAUUCGGUGCCUUGAAGAGUGUCACAUCCUGCUGUUUACACAAACAUCAGAAAACCGGUGAGAGAAGGAAAGACACAGAAUGAAUAUGUGCUGCUCACAAAGACAUGUAUGUACCUUGAGGGUCAGCCUUCUUAGUGUGGCAUAGCACACACGCCUUCUGCCAAGCUUGGUUAACCUGGAGAAAGACAGAGAGAGAGAGCGAGAGAGAGAGAGAGAAAUUACAGUGUCCAGAUUAUUACUGGUGGGGAUUGCAAGGAAAUGCAGCAGUGAUGUCUGGUUUGGUUCAUUUUAAUUAGCUUCAGCGUUUACAAUGUCAACAUGACUUCAUUGUACUUCGACUUAGAACAUUUUUACCAUUUUAGACCCUUUUAUUUCACAGUUGUACACAGUAUAUUAUUUAAUAAAGAACGCAUAUGCCAACCAAAAUUAUGUCUUUAACCUCUGAAACUCAUAAAUCUCUUCGGUGAGUCAAAGAUACAUACUUUUAGAUUUAAUACUUUUUGGAACUGCAUCAGUUUCUCUAUUAGUCUCACUGUAGUUACUAAAUUCUUCAUUGUACUUUAUGAAUAAUGUGCUUAAUUAUGAAUGACUGAUAAGUAGAUAAAACAUUAAGAAGUUGAGUAUGAUGAGUGCCUGUCUUGUGUCACCUAUACAUUCCUUUCUUUUACUAGUUGUACAUUGACUAAUGUCUUCAUGGAAGCUGGCCAAACAAGUUUUCACAAGGAACAAUGCCCCAAAUGUUCUCAUAUAGGUUCCAAAACUGAAAUGAAAUAGCUCAGUCUAUUUUCAGUGUGUGUGU